UUUUCGCGCCAAUUCUUUUACAGUUUUUCUUCCCGAAAUCUAAGUGCAUUUAAAAGAACGUGUAUUGUUAGUUUCCUGAUGAAUCUUUCAUUUUUAUCUCCUCUCUUCCACACGUUCUCUCUCAUAAGUUAAAUAAUUUCUCAAAAAAAUUGGAUCGAAAAAAGGGGAUCCCUGAAAUAUGUUCUCGCUUUCUCGAUCCGAAUUUAGAAGGGAAUAAUUGAUGGAAACUCCAACUGCUAUCCAUUUUCCUUUCUGCAAUUGGAUUUUACGGUUGAAACACACCAUGGAAGGCGCAAAGAGAGAUGCAAAUAAUCAUGGAGAACAAUGUGAUGGGUAAUUUUAAUGGGAAAAGAAACAGAGACGAAGAGCAUGAAACCAGAUUCAAGAGCACACAUAUGGUGAUUAUCAACAUGCCGCCGAGAAAAAAGAGUUAUCACUAAGGUUAAAUUCUUUCCCAUCUCUUGAUGUCCUCUCCACCCAGAGAACUCUACCCUCUAAAUCUCUCAUUUCUCGGAGAAUUUGUUCUUUUCUCUUUAACCGAUUUGGGGGAAAAUAAUGUUAGAAAGACUGCACAAUUUUUGUGUAAUUUGAUAAUAUUUAGCAAAUUCUUAAAUAUCUGAUUAUAGUACUAAUUAAAUUUGGAUUUUUUUGAAGGAACUCGGGGAGAUUUGCAAAAGUAUUAUUUGAAAAUUGAGAUCCGAGUCAUACGUAUGUUUUUCCUGCGCUGUUUCUUUAUUCCGUCAGCCAAAACAAAUUGCUUUUAACCGGGAGAUUGAUGUUAUAUCUCAUUUUUCUCUGCCUCGAUUGAAUUUUCUCGAUGUUUUUCAUGCGCUAUGUAUAUCCAUUCAGCAAAAAAAGCCCUUUUGUCGGUAGAUUGAUGAUAUAUCUCAUUUUUCUAUGGCUUGAUUGAAUUUUUUCAAAAUACAUAUGUAUGAUUUUCACGCGCUAUUUAUUUAAUUUAGUCAAGAAAAAUGGCUUUAAUUGGUGGAGUGAUGUUAUAUUUCAUUUUUCUCUUGCUCGAUUGAAUUUGAUAUCAUCAUAAUUGGUGGAUUGAAUUUCUGAUCAGAAUCUCCUUUCCUUUACGUUCUCUCGGAUUGCCAGUUGGUUUUUUUAUAUUAUCAUUUGAAUGUUGGAAUAGGUUUUAUACCUUUUAUCUGUUAGAGGCCUUUAGGAGAAUUGCAGUUUGGGUUCUGAUGGAUAGUUGGUUUGUUGAAUUUAGGAGGCAUAUUGCUGAAGAAUAUCUUUGCGUUAUUGUGGUGAAGUUGUAUCAAUUUAAUUUCCAUCUUCUCCAAUUUGAAGCCGUAUCAGUUUUUCUAUCCCUUUCAAAGGAAUUUUAAUGAACAUGAUUAUAAUAUAUUUUUCAGGUGUAAUAGUGAUGUUGGUCCAUUGUCUCCAUUUAUAAUUGUUAGCAUUUUCGCUUGAAUUUUUGGUGUCUUUUCUUCAGCAGUUUCACAUGAUUUUGACACAAGGAGAAGUCGAUUGGGUAUGGUGCUUGAUCAUAUAAUAAGGUUUGAUCAAAUAUUGGUUUCAAAAGUGAAUCAUACUUCAUAUUUCGAAUGUUGUACAUUUUUUAAUAUUUCCUUGGAUUUGUCUUAGCAUUUCUCACUACAUACAUGUUUGGUGUUUAGAUUUCCUUAAAUGUUAAUUUAUAAGCACCUAUGUGUCAAGUUUAUUGUCUCGCUGAAUUAGCUAAUUGUGAAAGAAAAUUUGCUAGAAUCAGUCUUUGACUUUUUUAACCACCAUUUUCUACAUUGUUUAUACAAGCAUCUUUGUUUUCAGCUUAGAAGUUAUAAAAUUGUGUGUGUAAAUAUUCUUGAAUUUUUACGUUUACAAUAUAGAUAUAUGCACUCAAAAAUUUCAAAACUAUGUUAUCCAUUAAAAAAAAUUCGCUGCCAAUAUCCAUCUACUCCUAAACGAUAAAGCCAACCAAACCACCAUAGUCUGUGUGAUCAUAAGCUAACAGACAACAUAUAUAUGUAUGUGAGUUUUCAGAUUAAGAUGUUGCUUUUUAAUUUGUUCUUUUAGAUAUGAUUUUGUCUAAAAGUGAAAAGCAUGGGCUUUGAACAAUUUGGGAGACUUCUCUCGACAUGCCUCUGCUGAUUUGGAUGCUCAUAUAGACAAUGGUACAAGAAUCUGAACGAUGUAGUGUGGACUCACGAAUCAAGUGACAAAUAAUUCAUUCGGAAGAUUGUAAAAAUGGUGCAGGAAAUGUAAUAUUUAUGAGACGUUUGGGAGGUGAACUGCCAAGGGUUUUAGGCCACGAAUAGACAGAUGGGUAAGAGAAAAUUGGAAGAAGGAUUAACAUUGUUAGACAUAAGUCAACCACUUCUUAAUAAAAAAUGCUUCAGUGAUUGCGUCCA